GAUUUUUUUUCGGUCCUUUUAUAGGUCAUUUUUUAAAUAUUUUCAGGUCAUCAAAAUCCGGGCCCUGGUGAUGACACUCAAGUUUUCAUCAAUGAUAGUAGUGAACCGAGUGAGGUAACGAGAGCUUGUUGUCGUAAGUUUAAAAUAGAACACAGAUCAGCACAAAAAAAUAUUGAACUGCUACAAGAAAAGAUAAACACGCCUAAUCAUACCGCCAGAAGAGAUACUGUCCAACAUCAAGACUGAGCCUAAUGACAGUGAACUGGAGCUUCAGAUAGCCCUCAAGAAAGUAUGGAGACUGAAGCUACAGGAGGCUGUUGUAGAAUCAAAGAACAGUGUAGAAAAGGUGGCAGAGUCAGUACUGGAGAGAAACUCAGAAGGAAACACGGAAGGUGGUUCCAUUGUGCUGAAUGCUACUGCAGAAUUCUGCUGUACGUUGGGUGACGUCCCCAUUUAUGGUUUGGCUGGCAACAGGGAUGAGGACGCUCAGGAACUACUUGACUUUCAGAGGCAAAUGAUUGAAGAGAAGACAUGUCAGGAAGAAGAAGGCAAACGUGGAGCUUGGAAUGAAGUUGAGCUUG